GGGGGAAAAAUUAAUUAAAUAAUAAUAAUAAAAUAAAUUUUAAAAUUAAAAAUAAAUAAUGGGGGUUAAAGUAUUUUUAAUAGAAAAAAUUUAAAAUUUUAUAGUUAAUUAGUAUUGUGGGGGAAAUUUGAAAUAUGUGAAAAUUAAUUAAUAAGAAAAAAAAUUUAAUUUAUUGUAUCUUGUGUAUCAGAGUUUAUUAAAUAAGUUUUUUGGGGGGAAAAAAUCUCGAAUUUAAAAGAGUUAAUUAAUUAAUAAAGUUAAUGUAACAUAAUUAUUUUAAAUAAUUAAUUAGAAAUGAAAUGUUAAUCGUUUUUAAAUAUAUCUGGUUAUUUUAGAAAAAAAUUUAAUUUUAAAUUUAUAUAAUUUUAUAAUUUCAUAAUAAAAAUUAUAAAAAUUUAAAUUUAAUAUAUUAAGGGAUAAGCUUUAAAUUAAAAAUUUAUAAUAAAUUAAUAUUAAAAUUAAAAUUUUUAAAAUUUAUAUUGUUUAAAAAUUAUAAUUUAUUAUAAAAAAAUUUUAAUAAAUAUAUAAAAUUUAAUAGUAAAAAUUUAAAUUUAUAUAAAAUAAUAAUUUUUAAUAAAAUAAAAUUAAUAAUAAUGAUAAAAUUAGUAUAAAUGUAAUUAAAAAUAUUAAAUAAACAUUUAAAAUUAAUAAAAAGGAAUUCGGCAAAUAAAAUAUUCACUUGUUUAUCAAAAACAUGUCUUUUUGAAUAUAAUUUAAAGUCUAAUCUGCCCACUGAUAAUUAUUAAAGGGCUGCAGUAUAAUGACUGUACAAAGGUAGCAUAAUCAAUAGUUUUUUAAUUGGAAACUUGUAUGAAAGAUUUGAUGAAAUAUAGACUGUCUCUUAUUUAUUUUUAGAAAUUUAUUUUUUAGUUAAAAAGCUAAAAUAAUUUUAAAAGACGAGAAGACCCUAUAGAGUUUUAUAUUUAUUUUUAUUUUAAAAUUAUAUUAAAUUUUUUUUUAUUAAAAUAAAAUUAUUUAUUUUAUUGGGGUGAUAGAAAAAUAUGAUAAACUUUUUUUAAAAAUUAAACAUAAAUAAAUGAUUAAAUGAUCCAUUAAUAAUGAUUAUAAGAAAAAAUUACCUUAGGGAUAACAGCGUAAUAUUUUUUUUUAGUUCAAAUAAAAAAAAAAGUUUGCGACCUCGAUGUUGGAUUAAGAUAAAAUUUAAAUGCAAAAGUUUAAAAUUUUGAUCUGUUCGAUCAUUAAAAUCUUACAUGAUCUGAGUUCAAACCGGUGUAAGCCAGGUUGGUUUCUAUCUUUAGAUAAAAAUGAUAUUUUA
rnacentral:rRNA from 1 species